rnacentral:rRNA from 1 species
AGAUAAGCCAUGCAAGUGUUAGUUCAGGCAACGAAACUGCGAAUAGCUCAUUAACACGCUCAGAACCUAUUUGGUGGCGGUCAUCAGACCUUACAUGGAUAGCAGGAGUAAUUCUCGUGCUAAUACACGCGAUUGUUUCACCGGAAAUGAGUUACGGUGGAAAAGUUGACCCUUACGGGCACACCAUUCGGUUGAGCGACCUAUCAGCUAGUACUUAGGGUCUUUACCUAUGUAGGCUAUCACGGGUAACGGGCGGUUACCGUCGGACUGCCGGAGAAGGCGCCUGAGAGAUAGCGACUAUAUCCACGGGUAGCAGCAGGCGCGAAACUUACCCACUCGAGACUUUCGGAGGUGGUAAUGACCAGUUCCAUAUCGGGGGUAACCCCAUUUGGAUAGGACCACACCUUUCCAGUGUGGUGAAACCUAGCAGAGGGCCAGUCUGGUGCCAGCAGCUGCGGUAAUUCCAGCUCUGCGAGUUUGCUCCCAUAUUGUUGCAGUUAAAACGCCCGUAGUCGGAGUUGCCUCGAAGAGGCAUGUGUGGCAUCCGCCACGUUCACUGUGAACAAAUCAGGACGCUUAGUGUAUGGAUUCAGGAAUGACUCAGCGCAGUAUGAUAUCUUUACCUUAGGUAAGAUCAAUGAGAGCCACCGGGGGUAGAUCUAUUUCAUGGCGAGCGGUGGAAUGCUUUGACCCAUGAGAGAGAAACGAAGGCGAAGGCAUCUACCUAGAGGGUUUCUGUCGAUCAAGGGCGAGAGUAGGAGUAUCCAACCGGAUUAGAGACCCGGGUAGUUCCUACCUUAAACAAUGCCGACAGGGGCUUGUCCUUUAUUAGGGCAGGACCUUAGGAGAAAUCAUAGUUCCUGGGGCUCUGGGGGGAACUACGACCGCAAGGGUUGAACUUGAAGAAUUGACGGAAGGGCACCCCAGGGGUGGAACUUGUGGCUUAAUUUGAAUCAACACGGGGAAACUUACCAGGACAAGGUGUUCUUUAUGACUGACAUUCUACAGGGAUUUCAGGAUAAGACUUUUGGUGGUGCCUGGCCCUUGGUGGUGCGUGGGUUGACCUGUCUAGCGUUGAAUCAACUAACGAGCGAAAAUAUCGGCAAUUAAAUACCUGUAACUCCUUCGGGAAGGUAUCGGUUCUAAUUGGGACUCCAUGCGAUUAAGCAGGCGGAAGAGGGUAGCAAUAACAGGUCCGUGAUGUCCUUUAGAUGCUCUGGGCUGCACGCGCGCUACAAUGUUAGGAUCAAAGGGUUGCUAAGCUGAAAGGCUAUGCUACUCUCGCAAUACCUAACGUAGUUGGGAUUGACGGUUGUAAUCACCGUCAUGAACCAGGAAUCCCUUGUAAAUGCGUGUCAACAGCGCGCGUUGAAUACGUCCCUGCCCUUUGUACACACCGCCCGUCGCUCCUACCGAUUGGAUGACUCGGUGAAAUCACCGGAUUCUACGGGAAAAUGAGAUUAUCUCACGAUAUCUAGAAGAGAGAGAA